UGGACCUACGGGACGCAGCAGUGAGGAAUAUUGGUCAAUGGGCGGAAGCCUGAACCAGCCAAGUCGCGUGAGGGAAGAAGGCCCUGCGGGUCGCAGACCUCUUUGGACGGGGAGCAAGGCCGCCGACGUGUCGGCGGAAGGAGAGUACCCGUAGAACAAGCAUCGGCUAACUCCGUGCCAGCAGCCGCGGUAAUACGGAGGAUGCGAGCGUUAUCCGGAUUUAUUGGGUUUAAAGGGUGCGUAGGCGGUCCGGAAAGUCAGCGGUAAAAGCCCGGGGCUCAACCCCGGCGAGCCGUUGAAACUGU
rnacentral:rRNA from 1 species